rnacentral:rRNA from 1 species
GAAUUGACGGGGGGCCCGCACAAGCGGUGGAGCAUGUGGUUUAAUUCGACGCAACGCGAAGAACCUUACCUGGGCUCGAACGGCUAGUGACAGAGGGUGAAAGCCCUUCUUCCCUUCGGGGACGCUAGCCGAGGUGCUGCAUGGCUGUCGACAGCUCGUGUCGUGAGAUGUUGGGUUAAGUCCCGCAACGAGCGCAACCCUUGCCUUUAGUUGCCAUCACGUUAUGGUGGGCACUCUAAAGGGACUGCCGGUGAAAAACCGGAGGAAGGUGGGGAUGACGUCGAGUCCUCAUGGCCUUUAUGUCCAGGGCUACACACGUGCUACAAUGGGCGGUACAAAGGGUCGCAAACCCGCGAGGGGGAGCUAAUCCCAAAAAGCCGUCCUCAGUUCGGAUUGGAGUCUGCAACUCGACUCCAUGAAGUUGGAAUCGCUAGUAAUCGCGGAUCAGCAUGCCGCGGUGAAUACGUUCCCGGGCCUUGUACACACCGCCCGUCACAUCACGAAAGCCGUUUGUACUAGAAGCCGGUGAUUCAACCUUCGGGAGAUAGCCGUCCAAGGUAUGAAUGGUGAUUGGGGUGAAGUCGUAACAAGGUA